rnacentral:rRNA from 1 species
AACGAACGCUGGCGGCAUGCCUAACACAUGCAAGUCGAACGAGACCUUCGGGUCUAGUGGCGCACGGGUGCGUAACGCGUGGGAACCUGCCCUUAGGGUCGGAAUAACUCCCCGAAAGGGGUGCUAAUACCGGAUAAUGUCUUCGGACCAAAGAUUUAUCGCCUUUGGAUGGACCCUCGUUGGAUUAGCUAGUUGGUAGGGUAAAAGCCUACCAAGGCGAGGAUCCAUAGCUGGUCUGAGAGGCUGAUCAGCCACACUGGGACUGAGACACGGCCCAGACUCCUACGGGAGGCAGGAGUGGGGGAUAUUGGAAAGUGGGGGAAAGGCUGAACGUGCACUGCCGCGUGAGUGAUGAAGGCCUUAGGGUUGUAAAGCUCUUUUACCCGGGCUGAUAAUGACAGUACCGGGAGAAUAAGCUCCGGCUAACUCCGUG